AGUGAACGCUGGCGGCAGGCCUAACACAUGCAAGUCGAGCGGCAGCGGGUCCUUCGGGAUGCCGGCGAGCGGCGGACGGGUGAGGAAUGCGUCGGAAUCUGCCUUUUUGUGGGGGAUAACGUAGGGAAACUUACGCUAAUACCGCAUACGACCUACGGGUGAAAGUGGGGGACCGCAAGGCCUCAUGCAGAAAGAUGAGCCGACGUCGGAUUAGCUAGUUGGCGGGGUAAAGGCCCACCAAGGCGACGAUCCGUAGCUGGUCUGAGAGGAUGAUCAGCCACACUGGAACUGAGACACGGUCCAGACUCCUACGGGAGGCAGCAGUGGGGAAUAUUGGACAAUGGGCGCAAGCCUGAUCCAGCCAUGCCGCGUGUGUGAAGAAGGCCUUCGGGUUGUAAAGCACUUUUGUCCGGAAAGAAAUCCUGUCGGCUAAUACCCGGCGGGGAUGACGGUACCGGAAGAAUAAGCACCGGCUAACUUCGUG
rnacentral:rRNA from 1 species